GGCCGCUUGGUGUAGUCGUUGCAUACGCCGUUCGGGUCUACAUCGUUCUUCGGCGUGGUGGUGGGUUCAAAUCCCGCAGCGGCCC
rnacentral:tRNA from 1 species